CAUACCUCAAACAACAACAACCCCAGUCCUCUUCUCUAACUCCUGCCGACCUCACUGUUCUGGUUUAGGGUGAGAAACUGUUGGGUAUAUUUGCUCACCAGCUGAAAAGCCAAAAAAAGGGUGACUUCACGAAGACCCUUUAACUGGACUGGACAAACAGGAGAGUCACUGAACUGGAGCAUCUGCAAGGAAAAGGGGAACAAUACGGAUAUCAGGACACCCCUUACUUAUCAUACCUGCAGUAUAACAAACCAACCUCUGACCAUUUCAGCCACAGAAGAUCAUAAAGACCUCAGUUCUGUGCCACCCCCUUCCCUCUUACCCCAUGAAAAUCACACAAAGGUUGUUUUUUUUUUUUUUUUAAAUGUUAAGACUUGUAGAUCACCCCAUUAAGUAAGUUUGUUGGUUUUGUUUUGUUUUUCAUUUUGUUUUUCUUUCUUUCG